rnacentral:rRNA from 1 species
CCACUAGCGUAUAUUAAAGUUGUUGCCGUUAAAAGGCUCGUAGUUGAAUUUUAGGCCUGACCGGGCGGUCCGUCUUUGGCGAGUACUGUCCUGUGUCGGGUCCACCUUCUGGUGAACCAGUAUGUCCUUUAUUGGGUUUGCCGGGGAGCCAGGACCAUUACCUUGAAAAAAUUAGAGUGUUUAAAGCAGGCAUUUGCUUGAAUAGAUUAGCUUGGAAUAAUAGAAUAGGACGUUGUGGUUCUAUUUUGUUGGUUUCUAGGACCACCGUAAUGAUUAAUAGGGAUAGUUGGGGGCAUUAGUAUUCAAUUGUCAGAGGUGAAAUUCUUGGAUUUAUUGAAGACUAACUAUUGCGAAAGCAUUUGCCAAGGAUGUUUUCAUUAAUCAAGAACGAAAGUUAGGGGAUCGAAGACGAUCAGAUACCGUCGUAGUCUUAACCAUAAACUAUGCCGACUAGGAAUCGGGCGACGUUAUUUUCAUGACUCGCUCGGCGCCUUAUG